rnacentral:tRNA from 1 species
GAGGGUAUAACUCGGCGGUAGAGUGCCUGCUUAGCAUGCAAGAAGUCCUGGGUUCAAUCCCCAGCACCACCA